GACCUAGUGGCGGACGGACCGCACCUGCAUUCAGUGGCAGUGUGUACAAAUUCGCUGCAGGAAACCCUGGUUCGACUCCAGGCUGGGUCA